rnacentral:rRNA from 1 species
CAGCCGCCGCGGUAAUACGGAGGGAGCUAGCGUUGUUCGGAAUUACUGGGCGUAUAGCGCGCGUAGGCGGUUACUCAAGUCAGAGGUGAAAGCCCGGGGCUCAACCCCGGAACUGCCUUUGAAACUAGGUGACUAGAAUCUUGGAGAGGUCAGUGGAAUUCCGAGUGUAGAGGUGAAAUUCGUAGAUAUUCGGAAGAACACCAGUGGCGAAGGCGACUGACUGGACAAGUAUUGACGCUGAGGUGCGAAAGCGUGGGGAGCAAACAGGAUUAGAGACCCCAGUAGUCCCUGUCUCUUAUAC